GAUGAACGCUGGCGGCGUGCCUAAUACAUGCAAGUCGAGCGAAUGGAUUAAGAGCUUGCUCUUAUGAAGUUAGCGGCGGACGGGUGAGUAACACGUGGGUAACCUGCCCAUAAGACUGGGAUAACUCCGGGAAACCGGGGCUAAUACCGGAUAACAUUUUGAACCGCAUGGCUCGAAAUUGAAUGGCGGCUUCGGCUGUCACUUAUGGAUGGACACGCGUCGCAUUAGCUAGUUGGUGGGGUAACGGCACACCAAGGCAACGAUGCGUAGCCGACCUGAGAGGGUGAUCGGCCACACUGGGACUGAGACACGGCCCAGACUCCUACGGGAGGCAGCAGUAGGGAAUCUUCCGCAAUGGACGAAAGUCUGACGGAGCAACGCCGCGUGAGUGAUGAAGGCUUUCGGGUCGUAAAACUCUGUUGUUAGGGAAGAACAAGUGCUAGUUGAAUAAGCUGGCACCUUGACGGUACCUAACCAGAAAGCCACGGCUAACUACGUGCCAGCAGCCGCGGUAA
rnacentral:rRNA from 1 species